AUUGAACGCUGGCGGCAUGCUUUAUACAUGCAAGUCGAACGGUAACAGGCCGCAAGGUGCUGACGAGUGGCGAACGGGUGAGUAAUGCAUCGGAACGUGCCCAGUCGUGGGGGAUAACUACUCGAAAGAGUAGCUAAUACCGCAUACGAUCUAUGGAUGAAAGCGGGGGACCGUAAGGCCUCGCGCGAUUGGAGCGGCCGAUGUCAGAUUAGGUAGUUGGUGGGGUAAAGGCUCACCAAGCCAACGAUCUGUAGCUGGUCUGAGAGGACGACCAGCCACACUGGGACUGAGACACGGCCCAGACUCCUACGGGAGGCAGCAGCGGGGAAUUUUGGACAAUGGGCGCAAGCCUGAUCCAGCAAUGCCGCGUGCAGGAAGAAGGCCUUCGGGAUGUAAACUGCUUUUGUACGGAACGAAACGGCUCUGGUUAAUACCCGGGGCUAAUGACGGUACCGUAAGAAUAAGCACCGGCUAACUACGUG
rnacentral:rRNA from 1 species